rnacentral:rRNA from 1 species
CAGGAAAUUUGAGAGGCGCUGUCCUUAGUACGAGAGGACCGGGAUGGACGCACCGCUGGUGUAUCGGUUGUUCCGCCAGGAGCACGGCCGAGUAGCUAUGUGCGGCAGGGAUAAGCGCUGAAGGCAUCUAAGCGCGAAGCCCACCUCAAGAUGAGAUUUCCCAUUCGAAAGAAGUAAGACCCCUGAUAGACUAACAGGUUGAUAGGUCUGAGGUGUAAGAACGGUAACGCUUUAAGCUGACAGAUACUAAUAGGUCGAGGGCUUGAUCA